AGCGAACGCUGGCGGCAGGCCUAACACAUGCAAGUCGAACGAACCUUUCGGGGUUAGUGGCGGACGGGUGAGUAACACGUGGGAACGUGCCUUUAGGUUCGGAAUAACUCAGGGAAACUUGUGCUAAUACCGAAUGUGCCCUUCGGGGGAAAGAUUUAUCGCCUUUAGAGCGGCCCGCGUCUGAUUAGCUAGUUGGUUGAGGUAAUGGCUCACCAAGGCGACGAUCAGUAGCUGGUCUGAGAGGAUGAUCAGCCACAUUGGAACUGAGACACGGCCCAAACCCGGAGGGAGGGGGGGGGGGGGGAAUCUUGUGGAAUGGGGGAAGGCGUAGCGACGCCGGGCGGGGGAAAGGAGGAGGGGUUUGGGAUAGAAAAUUCCUUUGCGAGGGAACGUUAAUGACGGUACCGGGUAAAGAAGCCCCGGCUAACUUCGUG
rnacentral:rRNA from 1 species